UGCUCUGGAUUAGGCUUUGGCUUAUGGGGAUACUGUGGCUGGCUUGAUCUUCUAUCCAGACCACAAAAACUUUCUCCACAUUAGC
rnacentral:pre_miRNA from 1 species